UCUCCGUUGGUGAACCAGCGGAGGGAUCGUUACCGAGUUUACAACUCCCAAACCCAUGUGAACCUUACCUAUCGUUGCUUCGGCGGGACCGCCCCGGCGCCCUCGGCGUCCCGGAACCAGGCGCCCGCCGGAGGACCCAAACUCUUGUUUAAACCAUAGUGGCAUAUUCUGAGUCUCACAAGAAAAAUGAAUCAAAACUUUCAACAACGGAUCUCUUGGCUCUG
rnacentral:misc_RNA from 1 species